rnacentral:misc_RNA from 1 species
ACAUCGAGUGAGCAUUGUGGGAUUGAAACUUGCCGAACAUUGAAUUGUUCUUUUUACUUUGAAUAAGAUAAUCGUUCAAAUUUGGUACAAAAUGUCUUCUAGGGGAGGUGAUGCUAGGGUAUAUGUUGGAAAUCUUCCACCUGAUAUCAGGACCCGCGAUAUAGAUGAUUUGUUUUACAAAUUUGGGAAGAUUUUGUUCAUCGAUCUGAAAAACAGCAGAGGUCCUCCAUUUGCCUUUGUGGAGUUUGAGGAUCCAAGGGAUGCUGAAGAAGCUGUGUUCCAGCGUGAUGGUAUUAAUUAUGAUGGCUACACCCUCAGAGUUGAAUUUCCUCGUGGCGGUGGACCUGGCUUUGGAGGUGGAAGAGGUGGGGGUGGAAGGGGCGGUGGCCGAGGUUUUGGUGACCGAGGUGGUGGAGGUGGUGGAGGUGGAGGAGGUGGCGGAGGUGGCCGAGGAUUCAGCGGCGGCCGAGGUAUUGGCGGCAGAGGGCGGGGCCGGGGGCGUGGAGGUCCUCCAUCACGACGAUCCGAGUAUAGAGUUCUUGUGUCAGGUCUGCCUUCAACUGGUAGCUGGCAAGACUUGAAGGAUCACAUGCGAGAAGCUGGUGAUGUCUGCUAUGCUGAUGUUUUUAAGGAUGGAACUGGUGUGGUGGAAUUUCUCAGGAGAGAAGAUAUGAAAUAUGCUGUUAAAAAUUUAGAUGAUACCAAGUUUCGUUCCCAUGAGGGCGAGACCAGUUUUGUUAGAGUAAAACAAGAUGGUCGUGGGGGACGAUCAAGAAGUCGUAGCACGUCUCCGAGGCGACGCAGCAGUCCCCGGUACUCACCAAUGAGAUCUCGGUCACGUUCACCUUUCUGAGCAGCAUCCGACCAGCUGUUACUGUGUGAAUCAGGACUUCCUAUGGUCACUGAAAAUACGACUGCAGUAUUUUCCCAGCUUAGUUUUGGUAAAGGAUUAUAAUCUUGUUGGAUGUUUUGGGGACUGAAAAGGAUUGCAAUCCUGUUCUUGGCUGUAUUGGGAAUGAGCAGGAUUGAAAUCAUGGAAAUAUAGGGAUUGGAAAGGAUCAUAAUACGUUUAAAAGGAGCAAAAAGGAAAUAAGGGAAAAAAUUCAAAAUCCCAGGAAAAAUGUAGGAUCAUUGCAUAGAGAUACAGGCUGAAAAAAGUACUCCAAAGGAUUGCACCCAAACCUAUAUAAAGAAGAAAGGUAUUCUUCAUUGGCAAAUACUUCAUAAAUUUGUAAAGAGCUAUAGUUUAGGUACGAUGACAAACACAAGGAUGUCAAAAUGGAUGGAUGGAUUGCAUUGUUACAUUAUUAAAGGAUGUGCAGUGUGAAUGAGGAGGAUGGGGAUAUGCCUUGUAUGGCUUUUCUUCCAGUGAGGAAAAUGUAGCCUUAUUAUUCCAGUUGUGGGAGAAAAAAAUUAGAAAUUUGGAUGAGUUAUAUUUGGUAGGCAAACAGAUUUAUCUGGAUUUGAAGUUUAAAAGGCUAAGGGCAUUUGCUUGGAUACCAGGUAGUUGUGUACAGGAGAGAUAUGCAUGACAAAAUUAUAUAUAUCUGGAAGAACGUUUUUUUUUAUAUAUAUAAAUAGGAGGUUGGAUAAAGCACAGCAGUUGGACACAGGAUUUUUAGGAAUUGAAUGGAUAAAGCAUUCGUAGAGGAUUUUUAGGAAUUGAAUGGAUAAAGCAUUCGUAGAGGAAGUCCCACUUUAUCUCCAGAAGGAUUUUUUUUAACUACAGGCUUGGGGGAAAAAAGAAGGAUGGAUAAAAUUCACACAAUUCACACUUUAAAUAUUUUGGAGUGUUUCACCCUCAAUUAGAAAGGAGUUGAAAUAUUAAUGAAUCACAUGUACAGAUCAUAAUUCCCACACUUUCACUUUGGAGGUCGUUUUCAUGAGGAUACCAACAUAUUGCUCAGUUACAAGGAUGGAAGUAUUUGUUGGUAAGGAUUCAUUGUGGAUUCCUUUUGCAAAAUGAAAUUUUAAAAAUCAAUAUAUGGACAAUUUAUUUAAACCAUGUAUUAGUUUUAAUUAAAUUGGUUGUAUAUCCUGCCAAACAGUCUUAAAAUAUUUAUUACAAUUAAUGUUGAUUUCAAAAUGAGUUGCUUCAUUAAUUAAUUUGUCCCAACUGUUAUAAUAGGUAUGGUAUGGAGAUCUAGCAGCUAUGGAAGAAAAUACUAGUGGUAGUAAUAGCUUGUAGGACCAGGGAGUAUAUUACAAUCAAGGGAUUUUUAUUGUGUUGUUGUUUUGUAAUUUUGUCACAUAGUUUACAUAUGUAUAUAUACAUGUCAUUUUAUUUUAUUUUAUAUACGUCAGUAUGAUUAGUAUUGUACAAACUCUACAUCGGUAAAUUGUAUUGUAUUGUGUCAUCUGUUGACAUCCCUUUUCAAUCUCAGGCGGAGGGAAGAGUCUCAAACUGCAAAAUAAGGGGCAAUAAUCAUAGCAUAGAUGUACGUUCAUCAAGUCCAUUUGAUAGGUUUUCCAUAUUAAUAAAGAGAAGAGAUUGUGAGACUGCUACAAGGGAAGUGCAACUUGAACUUUUUAUGACAAUAUACCAGCUGAUCAGCAACACAAGUUUAUGUUGGAGCUUACAUGGACAGACACUGUUUACUUUCAUAGAAAAACCACGCCUCACCAUAGGAUUUUGUUCCAUUUUUAUUUUUAAAUAAUCCAAAGCAUGUUGUAUGCAAGCUUUGUGGAUUUCAUAUUUUUAAUAUAGGUGCUUUUGUUCAUGUAGUGUGUUCAGAUUAAAAAUCGAACAAAG